rnacentral:rRNA from 1 species
GUAGGUGGCAAGCGUUGUCCGGAAUUAUUGGGCGUAAAGCGCGCGCAGGCGGUCCUUUAAGUCUGAUGUGAAAGCCCACGGCUCAACCGUGGAGGGUCAUUGGAAACUGGGGGACUUGAGUACAGAAGAGGAAAGCGGAAUUCCAAGCGUAGCGGUGAAAUGCGUAGAGAUUUGGAGGAACACCAGUGGCGAAGGCGGCUUUCUGGUCUGUAACUGACGCUGAGGCGCGAAAGCGUGGGGAGCAAACAGGAUUAGAUACCCUGGUAGUCCACGCCGUAAACGAUGAGUGCUAAGUGUUAGGGGGUUUCCCGCCCCCUUAGUGCUGCAGCUAACGCAUUAAGCACUCCGCCUGGGGAGUACGGCCGCAAGGCUG